CCGCACCACACAAAAACGAUAUACCCUCCAUAAUUAAUGGUCAUCAACUAAAAACCACAAACAAAGUACAAAGAUUUUGCUCCACUUAUCACUCCGCUGGGCAAAUAGCGAAUCCCCCCACCGCCCUUGCCGAUUGAUGAGCAUCAACCGCCGCCACAACAAAUUCCAUGCUUUACAAUUACACAAAACAAUUGUUAAAGUUUUUAUUUAUUAUUUGUAUUAUUAUUAUUAUAAUUUGUCGCCUGCUGCAAACUGCGAUUUGUUUCGUCAUCGUUUUUGUUUUUUUUCCCCAUCAGACCCGGAUAUACAUAUAACGUACCAUAUGCUGCCACUCACCGACUCACUUCUUCGAUUGCUUGAAAAUAUUUUGCAUUAUCAAAUUGUAUAAUUUGUAUCUGGGCAGGGGAGGGGAAAAUCUCUGCUGUGACAAUUAUUUAUAAUUCGAAAUAAACGGCAUUAUGUAAAUUGUAAUUUGAAUUGCAUUUCCAUUACUGUCUCUAAACUUUCUUUCCUUGCGGUUCUAGCCAAUCAUUUUCUUUAUUUGCCAAUCGGUUUUUGGGGGAUAUAUAACAUACCGAUAACUGCACCGAUCUGUAAUGGGUUUCGUCUAUCAUUUUUUUGGUAUUUCGUAUGCAACAAUACAUUUAAACUCACAAAUACAAUAUUUUCGCUAAAUACUUUUUUUUUAUAGUAGUUAAUAAUUUAUUAAUAUUCUUUUUGUAUGGUUCAUUUUUUUUUGUUGCUUUUUUGUUUUUUAAUUAUAUAUAUAUAUAUACAUAUACAUAUGUAUAUAUAUAUAAAGAACAAGGCUGAUAUUUAUAUUUAUAUGUAUACGAUUUUUUGUUACUGCUUUAUGUAAGUUUUCUUUUUCUUUUCUUUUAAUAA
rnacentral:lncRNA from 1 species